UACGGGGGGGGCAAGCGUUGUUCGGAAUUACUGGGCGUAAAGGGCUCGUAGGCGGCCAACUAAGUCAGACGUGAAAUCCCUCGGCUUAACCGGGGAACUGCGUCUGAUACUGGAUGGCUUGAGGUUGGGAGAGGGAUGCGGAAUUCCAGGUGUAGCGGUGAAAUGCGUAGAUAUCAGGAGGAACACCGGUGGCGAAGGCGGGUCUCUGGGCAGUAACUGACGCUGAGGAGCGAAAGCGUGGGGAGCGAACAGG
rnacentral:rRNA from 1 species